rnacentral:lncRNA from 1 species
GUCUGGGAAGCUUGCUUGGCUGGGCCGGGACGGACUCGACAGGGCGCGGAAGGGAGCGGUGGGCGCGCCCUGGGAGGCGAGCGCGUCGCAGCCUCACCUUGGACACCAUUUUCUUGAGCUGGCUCUCCGACACCGCCAUGACGGCCGCCUGGCGACUCCCUUCCCCGCAGGCAGAGGGUCAGCCGCUGCUGGGCUGCCCCAGACCGUCCCACACAAUCGCACACCCCCAACCCGGCCUCAAACAACAGGAAGUCGGCACCACUACACCACUUCCGCUUCCACUACGUCACUUCCGGGCCGCCGUCCUGCGGGCAAGGGUGGACACCGUGUGGGAUUGAGAGGGGCCUGGUGGGGUGGGUUCCAACCAACCCGCCCCUCGAGUGCCGGAAUCAGCAGGACGAAUCGGGUCCCAAAGAUGUGGGCAAGACUGUUCCGAGGGUCGAAACUCUGGUUCAGGAUAAGAUUAGCAGGUAUUUCACAGAGUCGACUUAAGGAAGCUAGUGCCGGAGAGGGAAGAAGUACGAAGGGCUUGCCAGUGAGCCUUAAUGACUGAUUGAUCAAGUGGGAGGGCACUGCACUGGCGGUCAGAGAACUGUUCUGUCACUGACUUGCUCUUGUGAUAAUGGUAGGCUAGUGCAUUUCUAGCUCAGGCGCAAAUUUCUCCCGACUCUAAAGUCAUACACUUGCCUUAGAUGAUGCCCAGUGGUCCUCUAAUUAAUGAUUUUUUUUAAGCUUAAAGACCUUCAUACUAUACGUUGGCAAGGGUAAAGUGUAGAGCCUUUGUUUCACAAGAAGCCAGAUAGUAAUUUCUUCUCCAGGAAAUCAUUCCGUAAGUCAGAAUUUCUCCUCUGUACCCACCCAUAAAUGAUAAUACAGGCCGUAUUUUACCUGGUGCUGUAUUUGUGUACCUGUCCGCUGUCAAAAUCCAAGCCCUUGAAGGCAGGCUUCCUUCAGAUCUUCAUUGCCUUGCACAAUGCAAGGGUAGGUACUUCCAUCUUAAUUGAAUUUUUACUUCCCAUAAAAAUUCUUCAUGGUGACUUACAUUAGUCAUCAUUACACAUCACCGUCAGUUUUGUAAGCACAGUGUCAUUCAAGGUAUUGUAAAAUUUUGAGUUUGAUGAUGUGUGACAGUUUCAAUUAUUUUAGUACAGCCCUAAUGAGAACAAGGCCGUAGUAUUGAUUCCCUUCAAAGUUGGCGUCUAAGUGAAGGUCACAUUCACAAGGAGGGCCUAACUGAAAGCAUGUGGAAGCAUCAUUAUAAACUGUUGCUAACACGCACAAAUAAAGGCUAUUAAUAGGUAUUGUUUUUCUUUUUCUUUUUCUUUUUUUUUUUUUUUUGAGUCACUCUCACUCCAUCGCCCAGGCUGGAGUGCAGUAGCACCAUCUCGGCUCACUGCAACCUCCGCCUCUGUUUUUCAGCUCCUUAGUUAAGCAUACAGCUCCAGUCAAACCAAACUAGAGGUCUGUCUGUCCUUCCAUUUUACUUGCUGUUUUAUGUCUUUUAAAAGCAAGAAGGUUUUCAAACUGUUCUUAAAGCCACGGCUUAACCAGGAGUCCCUUUAAUUAGAGCAACUGUACCUUUGUGAGUUGGAGGAAUGCCAGGUAAUAUAUAUUAUUUAUAUAUUUUAUAAAUGCAACAUUUAUAAAUAUUAAAAUAAAUUUUA